UUGAGCAGAAAAGAAGAAAUUAUUAUGAUUAGUAAUUUAUUUACUAAGAAAAUGAACAUAAGAUGGUACACAAGACCUUUACAAAAUAUAUUAAAAUUAAAAUUAGUUAAUAAUAAUCAAGAUAGGUGUUAUAAAAAGAAAGCAAGUUUUUUCGGAUUAUGGGUAAAUCAAAUACAAUACAUUUUAGCACAGAGGUUAAGAAGAGGAUACCAAUUCACGAUAUUUUACCAAAGAUUGCUAGGCGAUGCAAUAUUUUUAGACCUCCUACAAAGUUUCCAGACACAGUUUCGAAGACGUUUUAAUCGGAUUUUGUUUUCAUCAGUGGGAGCGUUAGCUUUCGAUUGGAGAGUUCAACGAAUAAAAUCUGAAGAUCUAAAAUCUUAUUCAAAUGAAAUAGCUUACGCUAAGAAAUUACUAGCAGAUACUGUUUAUUGUAGAGCAUGUGGAAAAAAGAAAAGGAUUAGUGAAAAAGUAGAGGGUAUUGAAUAUUGUAUUUGUAACAAUCCUCAGGUAGAAAAUGAUGAAUGGGUGCCAUAUAUUGAAAAAGAAGGUUUAACAAUAUGGAGAAGAGAAGAGAAAUCUGCUCUAUAUGCAUAUAAAGUGUAUGCCAAAUAUUCUGACAUUACGGCAAACGAUUUCCUUCACGUUCAAACGGAUUUGGAAUAUAGGAAAGAAUGGGAUGAUUCCGUAGCUAAAUUAGAAAUAAUUGAUGCAGAUCCAACAGAUUGUGGAAAAUCUCAAAUAAUAUAUUGGGAAAUGCAAUGGCCUAAAUUAUUUGCCAAUAGAGAUUAUGUUUAUAAUCGACGAUAUUAUGUUGAUAAAACUAAUAAUAUAAUAAUAAUAUGUAAUAAAAGUACAUCUCAUCCUAAAUGUCCAAUUAACCCAAAAAAGCAAAGAGUUGAAGAAUAUUGGAGUUAUAUGGUUAUAAAACCAUUCAAAUCAUUCAAUGAACCAGGUCUAGAAUACGUUCUUACAUAUUUUGACAAUCCAGGACUAGCGAUUCCGUCAACUAUUACUUCCUGGGUAGCUCAAAAACAACUGCCAGAAUUUCUUAGUAAACUUUAUUUGGCUACUAAAAAAUAUGCGCAACAUAAAAAAUCUCAUAUCAAGAAAAUAGCACCAUGGGAAACAUUUCAAGCAGAAAUUCAAUGACAAAGAGAUGAAAAAAAUAAAUAAUAUUUUGUUUAAAAAAUAUUUAAAAAAACAAAACCAAGAAAACAUCAACUUGUGUACAGUAGAAAUUUUAGGAUAUUAAAUUAAGUCAAAUAUAAUUAAUUUACUUCGAUUAUUUUAUUAUUUCGAUUUGAAUGUUUAAAAGCGUUGAUUAUAUGUGGUUUUCAAUUAUUUUUAAAUUAAAAAAUCAACAACAAAAAAAAAAAACUCAGAACAAUGUGCGAAGGAAAAAAGAAUUUGAAAUUAUGUUUUUAUAAAAUUAGAUAGCAACCUGGGAAACGUUUCAAAGGGAUUUGGCACAGUAAGUUCGGAAUCAAUGAAAUCAAAUUUUUAUAAUCAGAAUUAGUUCGGAUUGUAGAAUUUAAUUCUAGUGUUAUUGAUAAAAUAUAUGAAAAAAGUAUCAGUAAAUUUUUUAAUUAUGAAUAUAUUAUGUUUUUUUUUGCACUUGUAUUCAGUUUUCGAAAUGAAAAAUAUUUCUUAUAAUUUAUUAAUGUCAUUGCAUUCGUGCUUUUACAUUAUUCAAAUAUGGUUAUUAUUU